rnacentral:tRNA from 1 species
GGCGGUGUAGCUCAGUGGUUAGAGCACGCGGUUCAUACCCGCGGAGUCAGUGGUUCGAAUCCACUCACCGCUACGA